ACCCGGCGCUCCAUUAAAUAGCCGUAGACGGAACUUCGCCUUUCUCUCGGCCUUAGCGCCAUUUUUUUGGGUGAGUGUUUUUUGGUUCCUGCGUUGGGAUUCCGUGUACAAUCCAUAGACAUCUGACCUCGGCACUUAGCAUCAUCACAGCAAACUAACUGUAGCCUUUCUCUCUUUCCCUGUAGAAACCUCUGCGCCAUGAGAGCCAAGUGGAGGAAGAAGCGAAUGCGCAGGUACGUUGAGACUUUGCCAGCCCAGGAGGAGGGAAGUUCCUUGGACAAAACUUAGGAGAAACAUUUGGUUUGGAAAUCUUAAAAGAUCUUUAGGAGAAAAACGUUUGAGUGUUUUCUCCCUGGAGCCAGGAUUUAACAGAACAGAGAACGAUAGAACCGUAGUGCUUGUUCAUUUUACCACCUCAUUCUUUAUGUGGACGUUUGAUUUAAUGUGGGAGGGAAAGGCAACUCUGGUUUGAGGUGUAUUCCAUUCCUGUGUCUGCUUUUCAGGCUGAAGCGCAAAAGAAGAAAGAUGAGGCAGAGGUCCAAGUAAACCGCUAGCUUGUUGCACCGUGGAGGCCACAGGAGCAGAAACAUGGAAUGCCAGACGCUGGGGAUGCUGGUACAAGUUGUGGGACUGCAUGCUACUGUCUAGAGCUUGUCUCAAUGGAUCUAGAACUUCAUCGCCCUCUGAUCGCCGAUCACCUCUGAGACCCACCUUGCUCAUAAACAAAAUGCCCAUGUUGGUCCUCUGCCCUGGACCUGUGACAUUCUGGACUAUUUCUGUGUUUAUUUGUGGCCGAGUGUAACAACCAUAUAAUAAAUCACCUCUUCCGCUGUUUUAGCUGAAGAAUUAAAUC
rnacentral:lncRNA from 1 species